rnacentral:lncRNA from 1 species
UAAAGUCCAAACGCACUUGAAGCCUUUGGCAUAAUCGACUUCAGUCGGGUAAUGUUUAAUAAAACCUCUGGCCUAACUGAAGUCCAAGCGCACUUAAAGCCUCUGGCAUAAUCGGCUUCGGUCGGGUAACAUUUAAUAAAACCUCUAGCCUAACUAAAGUCUAAGCUCACUUGAAGCCUCUGGCAUAAUCGACUUCGACCGAGUAGUGUUUAAUAAAACAUCUGGUCUAACUGAAGUCCAAGUGCACUUGAAGCCUCUGGCAUAAUCAGUUUCGG